rnacentral:rRNA from 1 species
GACGAACGCUGGCGGCGUGCUUAACACAUGCAAGUCGAACGGAAAGGCCCUGCUUGUGUGGGUUGCUCGAGGGGCGAACGGGUGAGUAACACGAGAGUAACCUGCCCUUGACUUUGGGAUAACUUCAAGAAACUGGGGCUAAUACCGGAUAGGAGCUCCUGCUGCAGGGUGGGGGUUAGAAAGUUUCGGCGGUUGGGGAUGGACUCGCGGCUUAUCAGCUGGUUGGUGGGGUAGUGGCUUACCAAGGCUUUGACGGGUAGCCGGCCUGAGAGGGUGACCGGCCACAUUGGGACUGAGAUACGGCCCAGACUCCUACGGGAUGCAGCAGUGGGGAAUAUUGCACAAUGGGCGGAAGCCUGAUGCAGCAACGCCGCGUGCGGGAUUAUGGCCUUCGGGUUGUAAACCGCUUUCGCCUGUGACGAAGCGUGAGUGACGGUAAUGGGUAAAGAAGCACCGGCUAACUACGUG